UUGGAGGGCAAGUCUGGUGCCAGCAGCCGCGGUAAUUCCAGCUCCAAUAGCGUAUAUUAAAGUUGUUGCAGUUAAAAAGCUCGUAGUUGAAUUUCGGGAUCAAAUUGUCGGUCGUGCCUCGGUACGCACUGGUAUUAUUGGUUCCUACCUUCUGAAGAACCGCGAUGUCAUUAAUUUGGUGUCGUGGGGAAUCAGGACUGUUACUUUGAAAAAAUUAGAGUGUUUAAAGCAGGCUUACGCUUGAAUACAUUAGCAUGGAAUAAUGAAAUAGGACGUUUGAUUCUAUUUUGUUGGUUCCUAGGAUUGACGUAAUGAUUAAUAGGGAUAGUUGGGGGCAUUAGUAUUCAAUUGUCAGAGGUGAAAUUCUUGGAUUUAUUGAAGACUAACUACUGCGAAAGCAUUUGCCAAGGAUGUUUCCAUUAAUCAAGAACGAAAGUUAGGGGAUCGAAGACGAUCAGAUACCGUCGUAGUCUUAACCAUAAACUAUGCCGACUAGGGAUCGGAUGAUGUUAAUUUUUUAAUGACUCAUUCGGCGCCUUACGGGAAACCAAAGUGUUUGGGUUC
rnacentral:rRNA from 1 species